AUAUGCCGCUUGGAAUCAUGAUGCUGUGGGCGGCAUAGCGUAAUAGCCGACCAUCACGGGGAUCUUGUCAGGUCGGCAGGUAUAGCCAGCACGGGCCGAAAGUAGGCGCUUGGAAGAACUCCCGCCCAUGUUUCAGGUUUCCGAAUUUUAUAGGCGCGUGCUGCCGUGAGCCUACAAGGGGUAGCCCUCAGCGGUGAGGGCUAGAAGUCACGGACGCCU
rnacentral:sRNA from 12 species